rnacentral:rRNA from 1 species
GUUUGAUCCUGGCUCAGGAUGAACGCUGGCGGCAUGCCUAACACAUGCAAGUCGAACGAUCCCGAUUUAUCGGGAUAGUGGCGGACGGGUGAGUAACACGUUGGUACCUUCCCUGGAGUGGGGGAUAAUUCGCCGAAAGGCGGACUAAUACCCCAUGGUCUCCGAUUUAUUCGGAGUAAAGAUUUAUCGCUCUGGGAUGGGCCUGCGGCUGAUUAGCUUGUUGGUGAGGUAAUGGCUCACCAAGGCGACGAUCAGUAGCUGGAUCGAGAGGUUGACCAGCCACACUGGGACUGAGAUACGGCCCAGACUCCUACGGGAGGCAGCAGUGAGGAAUUUUCCGCAAUGGGCGAAAGCCUGACGGAGCAAUGCCGCGUGAAGGAAGACGCCUUUCGGGGUGUAAACUUCUUUUAUCAGGGAAGGAGACAUGACGGUACCUGAUGAAUAAGCAUCGGCUAACUACGUGCCAGCAGCCGCGGUAAUACGUAGGAUGCAAGCGUUAUCCGGAAUUAUUGGGCGUAAAGCGUGUGUAGGCUUCUAUGUAAGUUUCUCGUUAAAGCCCGGGGCUCAACUCCGGAACUGUGAGAAAGACUGCAUGGAUGGAGGUACAAAGAGGCAGAUGGAAUUCCUAGUGUAGCAGUGAAAUGCGUAGAUAUUAGGAAGAACACCAAUGGCGAAGGCAGUCUGCUGGUUGUAAUCUGACGCUGAGACACGAAAGCGUGGGGAGCGAACGGGAUUAGAUACCCCGGUAGUCCACGCCGUAAACGAUGCAAACUAGGUAUUGGAGGUACCGACCCCUUCGGUAUCGAAGCUAACGCGUUAAGUUUGCCGCCUGGGGAGUACGAGCGCAAGCUUAAAACUCAA